GUAACUCCCUCCUUCAAAGUCUUGGUUAAUCUUGUUUGUAUCUUUCCCUUUUCACUCUUCUCCUUAGCCCCCAGUAAUGGAGGUUCAUCUUCAGAAAUCUACACUGCUGGAAAGAAAGAGGUUCCUCCAUCUGUGACCUGCUCAGCCAGCCAUGAAUUCCCUCACGGCUCCUGGUGUGUUCUUCUGGCUGCCACCGCCAUUGUUGACUUCACAAUAAGCACAUCAGGAUUCCAAGGACACUGUGUCUCCUGGAUCUGUCAAGGGACCCUGCGCUGGCCUGCUGUCCUGAUGGCAUCCGUAUCAGUCAUUGUCCUCUCCGCUCAUUCCACCCUCCACCCCCUUUCCCAGAUGUUGAUGUAUUAAUACUUGCCAGAUCCUUGCUAUUAUUGCUCUUUGGGGCCCUUUCAGAGUAAGGAGUGGGCAAGUUUACAAUUUAAACCGUAUGGGCUUGAAUUUUCAAGUUGUGAUCUUAAACCUUUUGGUGAUUACUCUUGUCCAAAUUAGCUUCCUGCCCUCAUGAAAAAAAAUUGUCUCCAAAGAACAUUUGGACAUCUAGUAGCUAUUGCAAAAGAACAUACUGUUGGUGAUUUAAGUGUAAAGGAACCAGAAACAUAUGGAUUACAUUUCCUUUUAAAUGAGCAUGGCCUUCAAAAUCAGGAGAGUGAAUGAGUUAUUUGGCAAUAUCCAGUGUAGAGGUGGUCAAUAUUAAAGUGCUUGAAAGGUAAGGCACACACCAGACUGGCUUUCAGGAUUCCCCGUCCUCGAGUGGUGGGGAGCUGCUAUACCUGGUUCUCUUGGGGCCACCCCCCAGCUGUGAGGCCUGUCGUGCAGGACGGCUAUUGGCCUUGGUUGGGAAACCACCACUGUCCAAAAGCAUUAUUGAGUGAGUGGCAGUUCAUCACUCAAAUGCAUUUAACACUCAUAAAUAAGUGGUUCAUAAGUGCAAGACAUAACACUAAUGGUAUUAUACACUUGAAGCCACUGUAAUAUAUUAGCUACCAACCUGCUCUUUGUAAAUAGAGUGGUCCGGUUUCAGGUCCUAGCUAAGUGAUCUUGGGCAAAUCCCUUUGCUUCUCUGGGCCUAUGUCUUCAUCAGGAUGAGCAUUAAAUAAGACAACGCACAUAAAAUGCCAGGUUCAGACCCUGGAACAUUCAUUACUAUGCAGAUCUUCUUGCCUCCUCAGUAGAGAGAAGCAUAAGUUUUUGUCACUGUAGCAGGUAGAAUGAUUAUGGCCUUUCUUGUGUCAGACCGGAUCUGACCCAGGUAUGUGUUUUCAAGUUUUACACAAUGUGCAGAGAUUGGCCAGUGACCUGAAUAAACAAUCAUCUAUGGACUAUCUUUGUAUUUUAAAUGUUUGGUAGAUUAAUAAAGAUCUACACUGAAAUUUGAAAUUACUACAAAAAUUACCAAGCAGCCCUCAAGUGCAGGACAGCAAGCUAGCUGGGAUGGGGAAUACAGACUUUGGGUUGGGCCAGCCAAGACCUGUAAUCGAUAGUGGAAUUCAAGAAAGUACUGAAAUAACAGCAACAUUAUAUUAUGAAUAACCUGCCAAUGAAAAUCUUCCUUCUACUUCUAAACCCUUGUGGGAUUGGCAGCCUUCUUGGAAUCGGAUCCCUCUAUGUCCCUCUGUCAUUCUAAAAGCCCAGGUCCGCAAGAAGAAGGACCGUACUUAGCUGGCCCAAGUGCAUUCUCACAUCCUUUUUUUUCUUGGUUACAUUGAUAAUCUACAUUCUUCCUUCCCAGCUGCUGCAGACUUGACAUGCGUAACAGGCAAUGUGCUAGUUCUUUAUCCUACCCAGCCAGGUUCCGUCUCUUCUCCUGCCUUCCUUCUCUUUUGUUGUUACACAACCCUCUCCUGCUGACCCAAGCAGCUUGCCUUGGAACUGUCUUGGACUCAAGUCUUCCACUUCAUCUCACAUUACGCUAAAUCGCCACAUCCUGUUGACUUAAAAAAUACACAUUUUUAUUGAGAUAUAAUAUACAUUUUACACCCUGUCCAUUCCAGGCAUACAAUUCAAUGGUUUCUAGGAGAGUCACGGACAUGGGCAGCCAUCACCAGAGUCAAUUUUAGAACAUUUUCAUCACCUCCAAACAAACUUUGUCCCCUAAGCUGUCACCCUGUGCUCUUCCAUUGCCCAACCCCAACCCCAGCCUUAAAGCAAACUCUACUUGACAUUGUCGCUCUAUAGGUUUGCCUAUUCUGGAAUUUCACAUGAAUAAAAUCA
rnacentral:lncRNA from 1 species